CUAAUCCUGUAUCGCACUGAACAAAAAUAUUGAUAUAUCGCCAAAACUCGAUAUACCGCCCAGCCCUAACACACACAUAUAUACACAUAUACACAUUAUUGUAUGUUUACACUAAAAUGUAAAAAUUCAUUAUUUAUCUUUAACAGAAAUUCAAGUGCGGAUGGUCUUAAUAUGAUCAUGCAUACCCUCCAAGGUGUUAAAACAUCUUAAAAUAAGUUAAUGUCUAAUGUCCAUAAAAAUGGACAAACAAAAACGGAUCUUCUUAGAGACUCACCAGUCUAUACUUGUCUUGAGAAAGAAAUGUUUUUUAAAAGUUAUACACUAUAGUCUCCAGAGACGUGCUGCAAAUGGAUCUAAUCAGGACAGAAGACACAGUAGAAGGUCCAAGUGCAUAUCUGCCCAAGAAGACUUAUGAGUGCCCUUGAGAAAAACAGACCCCUUACGUCUCCUGAAUUGCCUGCAUCAUGGAAUAAAACAAGAGAAACCAGUGUGCAAGGCACUGUGUGUUGGAUCAGCUGGCCUCAACUCGGACACACUGUGUGUUGGAUCACCUCAGAUCAGCUGGCCUCAUGGGCAGAAUUGCCAAGAAAAAACCCUACUAUGGUUUUCAAAUUUAAAGAAGAGUUUACAGUGCACAAACAGUGGCCUUUAGAUGACUGAAACCACGUCUUGUUGACUGAACUUUAUCUUGCUAGUAUGGGAGAAGCUGGACCAAAGAGUUUGAGAACACUGCACAGUCAGCACAGCAGACCUCUUGGCAGUGAUGCAGAAGGCCUCAGAAGAAAUCACAACUGAAUAUCUGCAUAAAAGGAUCAUUAGAUUGUGACAGAUUUGUCAGAUGCAGCAUGACCAGAUAAGAAUGAUGAUGACAGCAUACACUGAUCAGCCUCCUUUACCUCUGACAGAUUUCAGUACGUCCAAGCAUUUGUGGGAUGGAACAGACAAAGAAGUCCGAUACAUGGAGGCCGCGCCUU